rnacentral:RNase_P_RNA from 1 species
GUAGCAGGACGGUCGUGUCGCUUGCCGACUAAGAGCGGCAAGAGGAAAGUCCGGGCAACACAGAGCACCAUACUCUUUAACUGAGAGCUGUCGGUGACGGCAGAGUAGCGUGACAGAGAAUGACAGCCCCGCGCCCCUGUGUGCGGAGGUGAUGGUGAAAAGGUGGGGUAAGAGCCCACCGGGUACUGUGGCGACACAGUAUGCCGCACGUCUUAUGGGUUGCAAGGCCAUGUAUACCGGAGUGUGACAGCUUUCUCGGCUUGUCCGAAAGCUGUCCGAUGGGCUGCUCGUCCAUUUCCGGGGGGUAGGCUGCUCGAGUGCCGAAGCCUUGCGAGGCACCACUUAGAUAAAUGACUGCGACCGCCGCGGCAACCUGUCGGACAUUUAUCUCUCCCUCUGAGGAGAAGAACGCCUGACGAGAAGUCCCGCGACGACAUAACCCGGCUUAUAGUCCUGCUACCUUU